rnacentral:rRNA from 1 species
UACGGAGGGGGGCUAGCGUUGUUCGGAAUUACUGGGCGUAAAGCGCACGUAGGCGGCUUUGCAAGUCAGAGGUGAAAGCCCGGGGCUCAACCCCGGAAUAGCCUUUGAGACUGCAUCGCUAGAAUUGUGGAGAGGUAAGUGGAAUUCCGAGUGUAGAGGUGAAAUUCGUAGAUAUUCGCAAGAACACCAGUGGCGAAGGCGGCUCACUGGCCCAUUACUGACGCUGAGGCACGAAAGCGUGGGGAGCAAACAGG